rnacentral:lncRNA from 1 species
UCAGAUAAGAUCAGUGUUUUUACAGGUGUGCAUUUCCUCGAAUCUUUUCUAGAACGUUUGGUAGAAAAGAUUAGAUGGCAUUGUUAUACCGUCUAGAACUAGUUCAUUGAAACUAAAACACAGUUGUAUAGCACAACAUGCUUAACAUCUCACCCGAUUUUAGAUUAUACCAGAGUAUCAAUAGAAAAAUAAAACGAUUCAAGAAGACUACUCAAUUUGCCUAUGCUAUUGGUUUGAACAGCAAAUGACUGUUCACAAUAAUCGUUUAAUAAGAAUUACAUAAGCUUUAAAGAAACCAGUUCAAAUCUAAGUACUUUUUGUUGCUAAAAGUAAGGAGUUCUCUUAUAACAUAUUUAUUUUUUCUCCAUUCCUGCAACCUCCUGCAUCCUUUCAAGAAAGCUUAACAUGCUCUUCAAGCCUUCCUCGUCUGAAAAAGAAUAAAAGUUGUAUAAAUAUUCGGCUAUGCCAGUUGGAUACAAUAUUAUGUACCAAAAAAAUAGGUUAGAAAUAAAGUUUAAGAGCAUUACCAAAUCUUGGUAUN